UCCUCUUGUUCCCUAGCUUCUUGCCCAACUGUGACAUGCAUUUACAAUACAUUUAGUCUUGUAUCAAGGGCCAUAAUCUACGUGCCAAUUAUAAUAUAGGGAACUUUAAUUGAUUCAACUCCCCCGUUCCCUAAAUCUUUUCUUUUCUUUCUCUUUUUCUUUUUCUAUUAAUUAACUCAUCAUUUAUGUGUAUUAGAGACUCCCUUGCACGAGUACAAGGUCUCCCUUAGCCUAAUCUAGGCUUAAUACCCUAUUUUGGCAUAAAAUUUCUUAUUUUCCCACCCGGAUGAACAGUAACCCGGACUGACAGCCAGUUACUUCAUCCCGAGUUUGAUCCACUUUCCAAACUCCAGAUUUGAUGAAAUUUUUACCUAACAUUCUACACUCAUAGGGGAUUCCAAAGAGAUAACAUGCAUUGCUAUCGGAGGUCGUUUGACCCCUUAAAUAAUUCGCCGAAGUUGGAACUUCGACACAGUUUUUCCGUAGUGCCGGAAAAAUUUGUCAAAAUCCGAUUCUUUCUCUUUUAACCGCCUCUACAACCCUUAUCCGACCCUUCUAGACUAUAUCUACCCUUUGUAUAGCCUAAUGUCAUCAAAAGACUAGAUAGGGACGGAUAUUUACCUUUUUUUUUUGGAAAUCGAGGUCCUUGCGUAGAGGGGAAGGAAAGCUACGUUUUUCCCUUCAGCUGGAAGUGCAACCGGGAUCCCUCUCCUCCUCGAAUCCCCUUUCUCUUCUUCUUUCUUCUUCUUCUUCUUCUCUUUUUUUUUUUCUUUCUCUCUGUGUUUCCACGCCUGAGACCUCCUCUCCCUCUCUGUCUCAACUCCCUCUUC
rnacentral:lncRNA from 1 species